rnacentral:sRNA from 1 species
GCCAGGCGCGGUGGCUCACACCUGUAAUCCUAGCAGCUCAGGAGGCUGAGACAGGAGGAUCGAGAGUUCAAAGCCAGCCUCAGCAACUCAGGGAGACCCUGUUUCUA